rnacentral:sRNA from 1 species
ACGCCUGAUGGUAAAACUAUAUUAAUUUCACCAUAAUUACCAUAAAAAAAUAUCAAAAGGGAAUUAUGGUAUAAU